CCUACGGGCGGCAGCAGUGGGGAAUAUUGCACAAUGGGGGAAACACUGAUGCAGCGACGCCGCGUGAGCGAUGAAGUAUUUCGGUAUGUAAAGCUCUAUCAGCAGGGAAGAAAAUGAUGGUACCUGACUAAGAAGCCCCGGCUAACUACGGGCCAGCAGCCGCUGUAAUACGGAGGGGGCAAGCGUUAUCCGGAUUUACUGGGUGGAAAGGGAGCGUAGACGGCUGUGCAAGUCAGAUGGGAAAGCCCGGGGUUCAACCCCGGGACUGCAUUUGGAACUGGGUGGCUUGAGUGUCGGAGAGGCAGGCGGAAUUCCUAGUGUAGCGGUGAAAUGCGUAGAUAUUAGGAGGAACACCAGUGGCGAAGGCGGCCUGCUGGACGAUGACUGACGUUGAGGCUCGAAAGCGUGGGGAGCAAACAGGAUUAGAUACCCCAGUAGUC
rnacentral:rRNA from 1 species